AAUAAGCGGAGGAAAAGAAACCAACAGGGAUUGCCUCAGUAACUGCGAGUGAAGCGGCAAAAGCUCAAAUUUGAAAUCUGGUACCUUUGGGUGCUCGAGUUGUAAUUUGGAGAGGCAACUUCGAAGGAGGCGCUGGCCUAAGUUCCUUGGAACAGGACGUCACAGAGGGUGAGAAUCCCGUGCUNGGCUGGCUGUCCUCCUUCAUGUGAAGUGUCUUCGACGAGUCGAGUUGUUUGGGAAUGCAGCUCAAAAUGGGUGGUAAACUCCAUCUAAGGCUAAAUAUUGGCGAGAGACCGAUAGCGCACAAGUAGAGUGAUCGAAAGAUGAAAAGCACUUUGAAAAGAGAGUUAAACAGUACGUGAAAUUGUUGAAAGGGAAGCGCUUGAGACCAGACUCGGUGAUAGGUGAUCAGCGGUUGCUUUUGCUCCGUGCACUUGCCUUUUACCGGGCCAGCAUCAGUUGUGACGGUGGGAUAAAGACUCAGGGAAUGUGGCUCUCUUCGGGGAGUGUUAUAGCCCUGGGUGUAAUGCCACCUGUUGCGACUGAGGACCGCGCUUCGGCUAGGAUGCUGGCAUAAUGGUCUUCAGCGACCCGUCUUGAAACACGGACCAAGGAGUCUAACAUCUAUGCGAGUGUUCGGGUGUAAAACCCCUACGCGUAAUGAAAGUGAACGGAGGUGGGAACUCUUCGGAGUGCACCAUCGACCGAUCCUGAUGUCUUCGGAUGGAUUUGAGUAGGAGCAUAGCUGUUGGGACCCGAAAGAUGGUGAACUAUGCCUGAAUAGGGUGAAGCCAGAGGAAACUCUGGUGGAGGCUCGCAGCGGUUCUGACGUGCAAAUCGAUCGUCAAAUUUGGGUAUAGGG
rnacentral:rRNA from 1 species